AAAAAACUAAGAUCUAUCAAAUUUUUGAACCUCCCAAUCUCAAUCCCACGAUCUUCUAACCACUUCAAGCAAACAUUGAACUCAAACCCUAGAAACAAAAUCAAUCUUCUUCUAGCUUCAAACCUAAAGGAAUCGAACUUCGAUAAUAGUCGUUUCCCUGUAAUCAAACUCAGAGCAAUCGAAACUCAAAGAUGUUGUUUUCCAAGAGAAAUCGAAGUUAGAGCAAUCGUUUCCCAUUAAUCGUUGGUCUUCUCCAAUCACACUCGUCAAUCCUAAUAUCCAAGAACCCAGAAACCACCGUGAACCCUAUCCCAUAAUCCAUAAAUUCUCUUCUAUCCAAGAACCUCAAUCCAAUAACCCACCGAUUUAACUGUCGGAAGUCAUACUCGUUCGUCGCCGUGCUCUUACAACUCAAACUGCCAUCAUUAAGGAAGAGGGUUUAUUGAAGGACCUCAAUUCACAAGAAGGUGACAAUGAAGAUGUAAAGAGUUACGGUGUUGGGGACUUUCAUCACUGAAUGGGAUGAGGGAAAGGCUAACUGUGAUAUACUGCUUUCAACAAAGGAGUCUGCACGAAUGUAUGCAGAAUGUCUGGCAGAGCUUGCUGUUCAUUUAGGCUUCGAUGGGUGGCUAGUAUAUAUUUCGUCAUCUCUCUGUGCUUAUAAAGUUUCUCUUCUUGUCUAUUUGAAAUUUCUAUUAAUAAUCUGUGUAUCCUUUUCAUUGUGGCAGGCUUUAAGAAUAAAGCCAUAAGAUACAUGUGUUAAAAGAUUGACUAGUUCUAUAUCACAAUAUAUGGUUUGGUACUUCUUUCUACAAUUGAUAUCUUUUGUACAUAUGCUCCAGGUCUUGAUCUGUCAUUCCAGUGGAAUAAUUGAUUAAAUUAAUAAGAAAUUAUUAAGUGUAAUUAUUACUUGUUUUGAUCAUUUUGGUUUUGUAGAUUUGGCUCCAAAGCAUAUGAAUCUUUUGAGUAUAUUGUUUCAAAAGUGCCCAGUCUAAGGCUUCAUGAGCAAUCAACGUACACCCAACAAAAUGGAGUUCAAGCCAGUUUUUUAGUUGACAGUUUUUGCCCUCGACGUUGGAUCGCUUAUAAGUUGCCUGUCUUGGUGUUUUCUGGUGGUGUUGCGGCUGCGUUUGUCCUCUUGCUAUGUGCAGCGACAUUGCAUUUUUGCUGCUAGUUUUUUAUUUUUAUUUUGUUGUAAUGUCCUAUAUUGUUUAUGAGAUUUAUAACUAGUUUUUGGAUCAAUAUAUGUUUUGGCCAUUUAGAAAUAUAUGAUUCUAGUGUUAUAGUCCAGUCAAUAUGGAGUCUUCGUUUGUAUAUGUUUUGGCCACUUAGUCUUGUGUGAUUCUAGUGUCAAUAUUAGUGACUGGAUUGUGUUGUAACAAAUGGAUUGUGACUAUGUAUUUGAUUAUGAUUAAUGAAAAUCAAAGGUAUUUAUUUUUUAAAUUCCAGAGAAUGUCGAAAGCAAAAAAAAAAAAAAAAAUGA